AGCAAAAUAAAAUGAGAAUAAAAAUAUAAUCAAACAACUAUAUAGACAAUGCUAAGGUCUUAGUUCUUUCCCUUACCCUUUUUUUGGUUAUUCAAUAUGUCAUGAUAGAUUUGCAUAUUAAUUUUGUGCAGUUUUUAGGUUGCUUGUGGUGGAAAUGGUGAUAGUAUUGUUUCUACAACCAUAUUUUUGGCUUCUAUGUGGUUGCAAAUGCAAGAAAACAAGGCAUUCUUCAGUACUUUUGAGCUAGUCUAGCCUUGUCUGAAAGGGUAUGAAAUCUAUAGGACAAAAAAGCUAAGGCCUUACCAGAUUUUGGGAAUGAAGAGUAUCAACACUUGGUGUGUGUAUGUGUGUUCAACUUGCUCAUAUAGGCAAAGAAGGAGUUGCUGUCAAGAGCUUGUUCCCCUUGGUUUUGUGCACUUGUAUUUUCUAAGGAAUUUUAGGUUUUUUUUAAA